AAAAUCCCUGACGUCAUUGGUCACAUUAGCUUUGAAUGAAAAUUCCACGAACAACUGCGUGCGAGUGUUGGAUUUCCUCCGUGACAGAAGUACAUAAUUUCUAGAUCUUUCUGUAGUUCUUCGUUUUUAAUGUACCAAGGUGUGUCUACUAUCGUUCUUAAUAUUACUGAUUGCAAGAAUUCCAUUUUAGCAAUAGGUGAAUGUGGUUUCGCAGAAUAUUAACUGCUUCUUCCAUGCUUUCGUGUGUUGCUACUAUUGCAAUGUCAUCUAUGGACGUAUACAUAUAUUGAACUGAUUGGUGACGUUAGAAUGUCUGCUACAAAUAAGGUGUAUAAUAAUGGGCUCACUAUACUUCCAUAUGGUAUGCCCGAAUUUAUCGAAUGUAUGGUUGAAGACGUGUCUUUUGCUUUCAUAUAAAAAUUUAUGUUAUCAAGAUAGGAUUUUAAAAGUUCAUACAUUGUGUCUGGGAAUUUUUGUCUUAUACAUUUCAACAAACCUUCAAGCUAUACCUUAUCGAAUGCUUUUUCUAAGAAUAAACAUGUGAAAUAUUUCUUGCAUU